rnacentral:rRNA from 1 species
GUUAGGUGGGCAAGCGUUGUCCGGGAAGUUAUUGGGCGUAAAGCGCGCGCAGGGCGGUCCUUUAAGUCUGAUGUGAAAGCCCACGGCUCAACCGUGGAGGGUCAUUGGAAACUGGGGGACUUGAGUACAGAAGAGGAAAGCGGAAUUCCAAGUGUAGCGGUGAAAUGCGUAGAGAUUUGGAGGAACACCAGUGGCGAAGGCGGCUUUCUGGUCUGUAACUGACGCUGAGGCGCGAAAGCGUGGGGAGCAAACAGGAUUAGAUACCCUGGUAGUCCACGCCGUAAACGAUGAGUGCUAAGUGUUAGGGGGUUUCCGCCCCCUUAGUGCUGCAGCUAACGCAUUAAGCACUCCGCCUGGGGAGUACGGCCGCAAAGGCUG